rnacentral:rRNA from 1 species
CAGCCGCCGCGGUAAAACGUAGGGUGCAAGCGUUAAUCGGAAUUACUGGGCGUAAAGCGUGCGCAGGCGGUUAUAUAAGUCAGAUGUGAAAUCCCCGGGCUCAACCUGGGAACUGCAUUUGAGACUGUAUGGCUAGAGUGUGUCAGAGGGGGGUAGAAUUCCACGUGUAGCAGUGAAAUGCGUAGAUAUGUGGAGGAAUACCGAUGGCGAAGGCAGCCCCUGGGAUAACACUGACGCUCAUGCACGAAAGCGUGGGGAGCAAACAGGAUUAGAUACCCGCGUAGUCCCUGUCUCUUAUACA